GUUUGUGUAGCUUAAUGCAAAGCAAAGCACUGAAAAUGCUUAGAUGGGCUUUAAUCAGUUCCACAAGCA
rfam:Sarcophilus harrisii ctg7180001610759, whole genome shotgun sequence.